rnacentral:rRNA from 1 species
AUCGACGAUCAUACCACAAAUGAUCUACCUGAACUCGUUUCGAUCUCAGUAGUCAAGAUCUGUCGGGCUCUAGUAGUACUUUGAUCAGAGAUGGCAAGGGAAUGUAGAGUGUUGUCGAUUC